rnacentral:rRNA from 1 species
GACGAACCGUGCGAACGUUGUUCGGAAUCACUGGGCAUAAAGGGCGCGUAGGCGGCCUGCUAAGUCGAACGUGAAAUCCCUGGGCUCAACCCAGGAACUGCGUCCGAUACUGGUUGGCUUGAAUCCGGGAGAGGGACGUGGAAUUCCAGGUGUAGCGGUGAAAUGCGUAGAUAUCUGGAGGAACACCGGUGGCGAAGGCGACGUCCUGGACCGGUAUUGACGCUGAGGCGCGAAAGCCAGGGAAGCAAACGGG